rnacentral:rRNA from 1 species
GACGAACCGUGCGACCGUUGUUCGGAUUCACUGGGCUUAAAGGGCGCGUAGGCGGGCUCGUAAGUCAGGGGUGAAAUCCUCCGGCUCAACCGGAGAACAGCCUUUGAUACUGCGAGUCUCGAGGGAGAUAGGGGUCUGCGGAACUUCCGGUGGAGCGGUGAAAUGCGUAGAUAUCGGAAGGAACGCCGGUGGCGAAAGCGGCGGACUGGAUCUCAUCUGACGCUGAGGCGCGAAAGCUAGGGGAGCGAACGGG